ACUGCUCCAGUGAGGAGGCUCCUCAGACAGCCACAGCAACAAACUCCAGCUCUCCCAUUUCUGGGAUAAGAGAGAGUGUAGAUGCACGACCACAGAAGGACACAUUUCCAUGUGAAAAAUUAGUCAUAGGAAGCGGUGCAUUACUGUGUUUCAGCAACACUGAUUGUGUGGAAAAUUAAGGAUGAUGAAGGAAAGCUUUUUCAGUGGGACCCUUACAGACGAACAGUAUCGAGUUCUUAGCUAUUUAGAGAAAAUGUAUCGUUAACAAAGAAAUAAGUUCCGCAUCUUCUCCUGACAACAUCACCAAGCAAGUGCAGAAUUAUUGCCUUCUUGAUUUGAGGUAUGCACCUCAUUUCAAAAUUUUAUUUCUCAGUGCCUUUGAUCAGCUCGUCCUUGUGAAAAUAUAUCCCAUUAAAAAAGUCUCUCUGUGGGGUUGAGUGUUUUACUUUUUUACUUUACUGUUUCACUUUUCAUACCAAUUGCCCAGUGAUUAUAAAGGGCAAUACUGAAACUAAAGCUAAAGAGCAAAAAACUGUGACAAUAAAAAUAGCACAUAUACCAUCUGCAGCAUCACACAGUACAGCUAAUUUAUGCUGUGAUGUUGAAAGUCAGAACAAGGCUCAAAUGUACUUGCUUAAAC